GACGAACGCUGGCGGCGUGCUUAACACAUGCAAGUCGAACGAAGUGGCGAACGGGUGAGUAACGCGUAAUCAACCGGCCCUUCAGAGGGGGACAACAGUGGGAAACGACUGCUAAUACCGCAUACUGAAUGAGGGGAUUGAGUCUGAUUAGCUAGUUGGAGGGGUAACGGCCCACCAAGGCGAUGAUCAGUAGCCGGUCUGAGAGGGUUAACGUCCACAUGUGGACUGAGACACGGCCCAGACUCCUACGGGGGGCAGCAGUGGGGAAACUUCCGCAAUGGACGACAGUCUGACGGAGCAACGCCGCGUGAGUGAUGACGGCCUUCGGGUUGUAAAGCUCUGUUAAUCGGGACGCGUUACCGGAAUAGAAAGCCACGGCUAACUACGUGCCAGCAGCCGCGGUAAUUC
rnacentral:rRNA from 1 species